GAACUUAAGCAUAUCAAUAAGCGGAGGAAAAGAAACUAACAAGGAUUCCCCUAGUAACGGCGAGUGAAGAGGGAAGAGCUCAAAUUUUAAAUCUGGCGUCUUUGGCGUCCGAAUUGUAAUCUAGAGAAGUGUUUUCCGUGACGGACCGUGCAUAAGUCUCCUGGAAUGGAGUGUCAUAGAGGGUGAGAAUCCCGUAUAUGGCACGGACUCCCGUUGCUCUGUGAUACACUCUCGACGAGUCGAGUUGUUUGGGAAUGCAGCUCUAAAUGGGUGGUAAAUGCCAUCUAAAGCUAAAUAUUGGCGAGAGACCGAUAGCGAACAAGUACCGUGAGGGAAAGAUGAAAAGCACUUUGGAAAGAGAGUGAAACAGUACGUGAAAUUGUUGAAAGGGAAACGCUUGAAGUCAGUCGCGCCGUUCGGGAUUCAGCCUUGCUUCUGCUCGGUUUACUUCCCGUUGGGUGGGUCAACAUCAGUUUCGGUCGGAGGAGAAAGACUUGGGGAAGGUGGCAGCAUUCGUGCUGUGUUAUAGCCCCGUGUUGUAUACUUCGACUGGGACUGAGGACCGCAGCACGCCUCUGGCCGGGGUUCGCCCACGUACGUGCCUAGGAUGUUGGCAUAAUGGCUUUAAGCGACCCGUCUUGAAACACGGACCAAGGAGUCUAACAUGUGCGCGAGUGUUUGGGUGUUAAACUCGGACGCGAAAUGAAAGUGAAAAGUUGGGAACACAUCUGUGUGCACCGACGCCCGGAGCUGACCUUCUGUGACGCAUCUGCGGUAGAGCGUAUAUGUUGGGACCCGAAA
rnacentral:rRNA from 1 species